UACGUAGGGUCCUAGCGUUGUCCGGAAUUAUUGGGCGUAAAGAGCUCGUAGGCGGCGUGUCGCGUCGGAUGUGAAAGCCCGGGGCUUAACUCCGGGUCUGCAUUCGGUACGGGCAUGCUGGAGUUCGGUAGGGGAGACUGGAAUUCCUGGUGUAGCGGUGAAAUGCGCAGAUAUCAGGAAGAACACCCGUGGCGAAAGCGGCUCUCUGGAACGGUACUGACGCUGAGACGCGAAAGCGUGGGGAGCGAACAGG
rnacentral:rRNA from 1 species